GCUUGCUACUAGAUAUCCUCGCCCGGCGCUGCUGCUGCCUGCCUCCUCUCCUCUUCGUAGGCGCUCUGCCUCGAACUCUUUCUCUUCCAAGUCCCAUCUAUGGAGAAGCCACAAAUUUUUUGUUCCUCUUCAAUUUCUAAAUCCCCCAAACUGAAUCCAAAGUACGGAGUACUUGAUUUUCUUAGUUUGCUUUUUACAGGUAUUAGGCCCAGACGUACUUCCGCUUGGACGGCAAGGUAGAUGCGGGUUGGAAUUGCGGUCCAUGUCGAUGUCAACCAGAUGUUGGCCAGGGCAAGCCGACGUGGUCACGGACAUCCGCGUCGAGCACCGGCUGCCAUGGUAGCAAAGGGGAGUAGUAGUAGCGCUAGAGGAGAAGAAUUGUGGAGGAGCGCAGGCGAGGGGGGCGGUGGGUAGAGGUGGAGCACGCUCUGCAUCGAUGGCUGAUGCAGCUGCGACGCCGCGAGGACCGUGGACCCGUCUACCUGAUCUAUUACCCGGGUGAGCUCUCCCCUUUCUCAUCUCGGACGAGCUUCUUCGUGACCGGCAGCCUUGCCCUGGGAUCAGUCUUCCUCCGACAUCGUCGCCGCGCCAGCGCACUCCGACACAAGCGGCCUCGGCACCGAAAGAGGAACACGCGAUGCCCGCGGCCAUGGACCGCCUCGCGUCGAGAGCCCGGUGGAGGAGCAGGAGGAGGGGGCAAGAAGAACAACAACAUGGCUAGCGGACGAGGUCUCGAUCGACACUAUCAAGCCCUUCCCGGAAAGCUUCUUCAACAUCGAUCAGAAGGGGUGCCGGAAGGCCGGCAUCAGCGCAGGUACGAUCUCCUCUGUUUCUGGCAUUAUCUCUCGGGCUUAUCUGCACUAUGGUAGAGGUCCGCGUGCAGGUCCAACAAAAUCGCCGAGGGAAGGGCCUUAGCCAUCUGUUGAUGCUGGGCACAUCUCCACCAAAUUUAGAGAGAUGUCAGUAGCCAGUAAUGCAAUGGUAUCGCUGAUGCUUGCCAAAGUUGUGACUCCGCCUCCUACUUGCACCAACAGAGCGUACGUUUUUCCAUGGUGAGAUUUCUAUUCAUUAUUAUUUUUUCCUAGGUUAAGGUUAUUCCAGACGCCACGUUUUCUCCCUAACUACUGCUAUGUAGGGUCAAGACUAUAAUUCAGACAAACCAUGAACUGACUAUUCGUGACUACUUGGAGGAGCAAGGUAAUGCUAAGACAGCUAAGUUCAUAUAUCUACAGAUAGCAUCUGCAACCAUUGAGUGCUUAAGCUACCCACAUGAGUUGAUGUGUCUUCAGAAAACACUAUAAUGGUAGUAAAGCUAUAUUACCUGUACUUUUCAUCAGUAGCUGGUUUCAUAUUAUGCUAUGGUCAGUAGUUUCACUUGUGCAUCUCAUGUAUGUACAUGUCGUUACAUCUAGAACAUAUGGAUUUGGUUUGAUAUGAUGUUGCUACCUACUUAAUGCUGACUAUUCAUGCUAUUCUUUUUUGACUGAUCGAUGGUUACCGUUCAUUUACCUAAUAAUACAGACAGUGCAGUGCUUAGUUUGUAUCUGUUAUGCAAUAACCUGAACUUUUAUGUGGCAUAACAGUGUUCUGUUUUCCCUUUGAUGGAGCUGAGUUAUGUUCUGUGGACUUUGCUAUAAGCUGGCAGCCGUGUAUUGAAUAGUAGUGUAUUACUUUUAUGCUACCUGUGAACAAUGUUGUUCUUUGUGCUUUUAAUGUGUAUAAGCCUUAGCAAAUAAAAUGCCACUGCCCUCUACAUUUUGAUCCUGUUUGAUUAGAAAUUUUCACGGUUCUGAAUUUAUCCAACUGCGCAGUUAUAUGAAUAAGGGGGCAGUCAGUAUUACACAUCUAUUCAAUUUAUUGCUAAUUAUCUCAGUUAUUCUAUACAUAAUAUUCCAGAGCAUGUUUACCUAACAUAUGCGAUGAUAAGUGAUGUUGACCAAGAGGACGCCUGCGUGUCCACAAUCUGCAGCAGUAGAUUUGCAUUGCCAUCACCCGCUGCGUCGCCUACUGUCUCUUCUUGGUGGAGCCGAGUACCGGCGCUUCACCUACGCCAUCAAGGUCGCUGUCCCAGCGGCCUGUACAACCAUGCUCUCCAUAUAAAUUCUCUCCAUCUGCAACAGAUCCCCUCCACACCCGUCAUUAUCACCCUCCCAAUCUUGCCUACUCACUAUUGACAUCUCCUAUAGUACCCAGAAUAAUGGAGAAGACGAAGGAACAUAGCGAUUGAUCAGAACAAGAUGGUUGGAAGAAGCUCUAUCACCUCACAUCGCCUCCAUUUGCGACAGAAAAUGAUUUCAACAGAGAAAGCACUGGAACAACAUAAAGAAGAGUAGAAAAAAUGAUAGGAGAAACAUUUUUUGAGUGGUGAUGAAAAAAUAGAUGUAAGCCAGUGUUGUACUUGAUCUGAAUCUAUGAACUCAACCCACUAACCGGCCGGUUACAACUAAGUAUGAGGCCCAUCAAGUUCGCCCAGUUUUUUCUACUAUUUUGUGCGACCAUUUUUUUCCUUUGUAAACCUAGAGUACCCUCUCUCUGGCUCCUUAUUGUCCUGAUCUCACCUAUUCUUGCAGCUCCCACGGCGCAGGAUCUGAAACUGGUCUAUGUUCCAAUUCUAGGGAGGCCUCUACUGCUACUCUUCUCCCUGGUUCGCCCCCUUUCUUUGUUUUGUCCUUUCUUUUGUCCUUUUAUUUCAGCAUGUAGAAGUCUUAAGUCGAUGUGGAAUUUAUAUUUAACUAUAUACACCAAAAAAUACACCAUCAAGGGCGCACGGUGCUUCUUUCUUCAAGCAUUACUCUAUUAAUUCAUCCUUAGUUAUUGAAUAUACAGUGCACCUCAAAAGGAUUUGAAUGUAUGAUGUGGGUUUCACCAGAACCUUUCAGAGUUGAGGAUGGCUACUGUUGUUAUUUCCAUAGGACACUUCACUUCCUGCUAUAUAUCAGUUUCUCAUUGAAAUUUGAUAUACCCAGAUGCUUUACCAACUUCCAUGGUUCUAUUUGUUAAAUAUGUUAGAGCAAAGAUCUUAAGAAGGGCAGAGCAUGGUCCAUACUUGAAUAGUAUACGCAUGUUGUAGGCAGUGUACAAUACAAUUAUAUGUUGUUAUCAAUCAGAGUUUCUAAUGAAGAAUUCUAAACACUUGGUUUUGUGGUUUUGUUGAAAGCAGUGUCCAAGGCAAUGAUAUGCUCUUAUCCCUCCUCAAAUUUGUUAUUGAAGAGUUCUAAGUGCUGUGAUGGGGUGCAAUAUAGCAUACCAUCAGAUUCUUGGUGCUCUACCUCUAUGCUUGCAUCUGCAUCCGUAUAAAAAUUGACUUUAUUUUCAGUAAAGCCUGCAGAGAAUAGAUAGACAGAGGAAAUACUUUUUAAUUAGAAAGACACAUCUAUCUAACCUUAUAACAGAAAUGGAAUGCCAACUUAGGACUCUUUGAUUCUGCCAAGUUUGUAUUCUACGAGAAUUGUCACCUUUCCUUCUUAAAGCCUUCGCAUCUGUUUUCAGGUUUUCUAUUUUAUCUUAGCUAUAGUUAACAUGAGAAAAACACACGAGAAAAUUAAAAUACUUGCAUCUUAAUUUUCUAUCUUUUUUUUAUAUGACGCUAAGUGUGAUGUGCAUUGUUUUAUGCUCAAGUUUUCAUGUUCUCUGCUUAGAUGACAAAUGUGUAUUUUAGUGUAUCCCAGAUAAUGUUCUUUCUUGUGUUCUGCACAAUACACUCCGCCACCAUCUCAGACGAGCCUAUAUUUUUUUUAUAUAGAUACCAACUUUUACACGAGGCUAUUCUUUUUUUUAUAGAUAGAAACCAAGCAGGUGGAGCUCAUGGCGAAGUGUCAGAAGAAAAGGCGCGCAUCAACUGCGCCAUUGAAGAGUCGAUCAAGUCGACCCAAUCUAUUGCCACCACAAAGGCAGCUCCUCCGUCUAAGGGAAGGAGGUAAUCUGCUCUCCUCCAAAUAUGAAGACGACGAACAUGAUGCUGAUGCUUACCAAGACAAAUAAUGUACCAGGAAAAUUAUCUUAGCGUGUCAUCCCAUUGUCCUCCUCUAGACCUCCAGCUGGCCAAUUGUGCGUUGUGUUCUGGGUUUAGCACAAUCCAUGGCCUCCAAUGUACCAGUUCUUAUGUUUUCUAACAUGGCGAGCUUUGCAAUCAAGUCUAGAAACUCGUGCUUGAAAUGUAUGACUUCUUAAGUUUCUUAACAUGGCGAACUGUACAAUCUAAUAAGUGUGGAAAUUGUUGCGUGAUAUAUGGGAUAACUGAUAGUUUGGUUUCUUUACGUGUGAUAGUUUGGUUUCUACACUUGUGAGUUCCAGUAGGUUUAUAUUUUUAAAAAUGUACUUUUAAAAAUGUCCUACCUAGCAUUGGACUUCACAUGUAUUUAUUUUCUUCUAUUUCUCAUUCCCAGUUCUUAACUGUUGUUCCGAGAUAUUUAGCCUUCACUUGUGUGCGCACACCUGUCAGCUUGGAAUUCCGAAAUUGACCGUUCUUUCUAUGUUGACCCUUUGAAUAACACAUAAAAAAAUAGGAAAUCCAGUGAUGUUUGGGAUGACCUUCUGAAGUACUACCUCAGUUUAAAAAUAUAAGCCUUUUUAAAAUGCUACAUUUUAAAACAGAGGUAAUAGUUCUUUAAAACUCAUCUUUACGAAGUUUAGGUUGCCUCCUUGCUUAGAAUACCCGAGUUCAGCUGAAGACCAAAGAAGAAGAAGCGCAUAUCAGUAUCAGGUGUGCCAAUACGGAGCCUUUUCAAUCGGACCUCAACACUGAAACUUUCUGAGUCAUCUAUGCUUCCUAUGAAGGUGAGCAGCUUUGUGACUGCACAUAUGUCGGCUGCCUAGAGUAUGAAAAAGAACAGCCUUGCACAAAGAGUCUAUCGGUCGGGGUCGGCCCAACACAGUUGGCAAAGACAUCAAAAUCAUCCUCAUUUCCUGUGAACGAAAAUAUGUGAUUUUUCUAAAUACUGAUUUACGGAAAUAUCGAUUUCCCUGCAAGUAGACAUAAUCAAGAAGGUUAUGCAAUGAAUUUUUAGACUUCAUUUACCAAGUGUGUGUCCUGCUCUAGAUACGAUGGAAUCCAGAGAUUGUACUGUCUUAUGUAUGUUUGAUUGUGUAAUGAAAUUUGCGACGAGAUUGAACUUAA